rnacentral:lncRNA from 1 species
AAGCAGAAAAUGUAAUUAGACAUUGUGUGAGGACAUAUUUAAAAAAUGAACACUAAAAUAGAAAAUAGUUUCAAGCAAAAUAAGAAGUCUAACAUAAAGUACAAAAUUAAGACACACCUAAGCCGAAGCUCCUUGAUGGCGUCGAGCUCCUUGAUUUUCGAGGGUGUCGUAGCUCACCAUGUGUGUUGUUCCAACCUUUUUUGGAGUAACAUAAGACAAGGAGAAAUAUUGGACUUGCUUGAAGGUUGCAGCAAGCUGGAAUGAAUUCUAACUUCUUCACUUGAUGCAUCAUAUGUAGCUUAGCUUCGGUGUCUGAAAAAAUGACUUAAAAAUACGGAUAAUCUGGCAUUCGAAGAGGAAAGAUAUAUAACCUAGAAUGAAUUCUAACUUCUUCACUUGAUGCAUCAUAUGUAGCUUAGCUUCGGUAUGUGAAAAAAUGACUUAAAAAUACGGAUAAUCUGGCAUUGGAAGAGGAAAGAUAUAUAACCUAAUAUCUUUCGGCAUUUGCAUAUAAAGGUCGAGGUAUCACCUGCAGAAACUGCAACAUAUCAAUCACUAAAAAAACUCAAACAGAAAUCUGUUGUGAGUAACUGGAAAUCAUAAAAAAUAUCAAUAGUCCCAACAUAUAUAACCAGUGAACGGAAAGCAUAGUGUAAAAUCAUAAUAUUAGGUAGGUCCUUUGCUGAGCACAUAGUAAAAAAAAGGAGAUCAAAAAAUUUAAAGGCCUUAGUAGAAUUUAAAGGUUGCACAAUUCUUGUGAAAUUAUGAAAGUAAUUUAUCAAUAAUCCAUAUUUGGUUUCCCGUUGCACCUUGUUAGACCAGGGACCAUAUAUGUCCGAGUCCAACAUUAUUCCAAAUGUUGUUUCCGACUAGCUUUAACUUUCUCUCAUCUACUACAACUUAUCCAUUGUAGGCCAGGAGUAUAAGUAUGAGCACAAAUAUGAAUUAAAAAACAUUUCUUAUGCAUAGAGUAAUGCACCAGAAUCCAGAACAUAAAUAAUAAACAAUUAAUCGUAAAUAGAUAAUUGAGUCAGGAUCACAAUUUAAUUCUUUAUUUUGAAAAUUUUAUCUGCUUGUGUUGAAUUGAUCACAAGGCUGGAACUGCAGGAGAGGGAAUUACAGGGAUAAAACUUGAAGAUGAAUCAGCCUCCUCCACGAUGACUUUCACCAAGUAGGAGGAGAUCCCCGUCUCCGAGGGCCAUACAGGCGAAACACCCUCCACUCCAUGGUUUUCCUUACCUGCAAUUUUUCCGCCACUGAUCAAUGAGCAUUAUCAACACGCAAAAACUCUUUUCAAUUGACGUGAAAUUAAAGCUUCUAGACUCUAGAUCUACCUCACAUGUGAAGAAUUGUGGCUUCUUAAUGGGGGCAUGCGUGUCUCCAAUGUCGUUUGCUUGGCGCCAUCAGAAAAGAAAGGUACCAACAAGUCCUGCAGCUUGCCUUGGAUCAGUGCAGUCAACAUGCGCCACCAACAUCAGAUGUCGUGCUAGUGACCGAGAUGAUCCGAUAGUCCUAACCAAUGACCUCAUACAACAUACGUUAUUGAAUAAAGCUUAAGGUUCUUGUAGCAAUUGCUUGUGUAUAUAAUGUACUCCCUCUCACCUAUUCAAAUGCUGAAACGAUAUACGACACUGUAGAAUAAAACAAUGUCUCCACAAUUGCACUAACCUUGGUAUCUCUACAAGUGGUUGGCAUUGGCAGUAUGUUGAUUUAGAUCCUUGCGUCAUUGAAGUAUGAAAUUGAAAAGAUUUAUUUAUGUACUACAGAGAGAGAGAGAGAGAACCAUGGCUCUUUUAGCUUCUUGUGGCUACAGGUCAAGAGGCAUAGGCAGCGCAUCGACUUCGAAUGCCCUGCCAAGAACGACUGCUCCAUGUGAUGGAUUGCAGCAGAGCAGCUGAUCCUGAAUACCCAGAAGUCGCAACAAAAAAUUGUUUGAAAACUACAUCAUAUUAUUAGUGUCGACACUCUAAUCAGACAACAUUCAGCGACAUGUGUGGCUUAACCUAGGAACUCGCACUCUCUGACUCGGCUGGGAAACGCCGGAAUCAGUCAGCAACUAAGCCCGUCUUGUACGCACCAAUCCAUCCAUCUAGAACCACCAACGGGGUCAGCAAGAGCGCCAGUCCCUACCCGGAGACGAACGGAGCGCCAGAUCCAUAGUUCAGCGCCCGCAACAAACGAAUCUAAUGGGGCCGGCCACCCGCGCGCAGACGCGGCCGUGGGGCGAAGGGAGCGAUCGGCGAUGGGGCUUCGCGGGAGAGGAGGAGGGGGAGGGCAUGACCGGUGGUUGAUUGGGUGGUCAGUUACCUUGUCGUCGAAGAGGAAGACCUCGGCAAGGCCGGCGGCGCCGACACUGCCCUAGAUGACGACCGUGGAGGAGAGUAGAUGUAGCUGCGCGGGGAGGAGAUGCGGAGAGGUGUGGAUUGGGGAGAAAGAGAGAGUGGGAUCGGGGGAGAGGUCAGAUUGGGGGGUGGGGAGAUGGGAUGCCCGCUGUUAGUGGCCGUCCUCUUUGUCGUUCGCCUGCGUAUAAGCUGAAAGCAAAGAGGUCGAGGCAGACGGUAAAGGGGGUUCAUGCAGACGGCAAAAAGGCCCUUUGAUGGUAAAGAGGAA